rnacentral:rRNA from 1 species
GAUGAACGCUGGCGGCGUGCCUAAUACAUGCAAGUCGAGCGAACGGACGAGAAGCUUGCUUCUCUGAUGUUAUCGGCGGACGGGUGAGUAACACGUGGAUAACCUAACUAUAAGACUGGGAUACCUUCAGGAAACCGGAGCUAAGGCCGGAAGAUAUUUUGACCCUCAUGGUGCAAAAGUUAAAGACGCUCUUUCUGUCACUUAUAGACGGACCAGCCCUGCAUUAGCUAGUGGGUAAGGUAACGGCUUACCAAGGCAACGAUGCAUAGCCGACCUGAGAGGGUGAUCGGCCACACGGGAACUGAGACACGGUCCAGACUCCUACGGGAGGAAGCAGUAGGGAAUCUUCCGCGAUGGGCGAAAGCCUGACGGAGCAACGCCGCGUGAGUGAUGAAGGUCUUAGGAUCGUAAAACUCUGUUAUUAGGGAAGAACAUAUGUGUAAGUAACUGUGAACAUAUUGACGGUACCUAAUCAGAAAGCCCCGGCUAACUACGUG